GAUUGCGGUCAUACACUGAAGCUGAAUCCGUGUCAGUGUUCCGGGAACACGUGACAAGGAACCUACACACCCCUUUAAAGUCGGAGACAGAGUCGUGGUGAAGGUGCUCCCCAGGAACAAGAGCCCAGGAGACUUCACCUAUGGUCCAGAGACAGAGGUCGUAGCAGCUACCCGAACAGCAGUCCUGACAGAGGAAAGUCCUACCUGGAUCCAUGCAUCCCGAGUAAAAAAGGUUCCUAGACCAGACCUAGAGAGGGAAGCAAGUGAUUCCAGUGAGGUACGAACCGGGGCAGACAGCCCUGACCUCCCACCUAGCGAAGACAGAAGAACAGAAAACGAUGAAGAACCUGCCCCCUAUCUCUAUCCUGGGGACUAUCUCGAUAGCCCUACUGGCCCUCAUUCACCUCACAAUAUGUGAAGUCAGCAUCACACAAACGGAUGGGGUCCCCACCUUGUGGUACAAUUCCUCUAACACACACGUAGCCACAUAUAUCCUUGACUAUUUUAUGUUCCCCAAAAUUGCUGAUGACAAAUAUUAUAUACAACAAAGGAGGAAAUCAGGAAUGUCUGAGACAAUGUACAUUUGUGUCACUGAUGAAUGGUGGAUGGAAAUAUCCUAUCAUGGAUCCAACUGUGAUUACUGGGAAUCUGUGGGGUGGAAUACAGGAGCAGAUUGGAAAUAUGGCCCAUCAUUUGCAAAAAAUAGAUGGAGCAAAUAUGGAGUACCCCUACUUUCUAGACUAUCCAUUCAUAAGAUGGAUGAAGGCCCAAAUUCAUACAGGUUUAGACUAAACAUAGUGAACCCUAGCAGAAGCGACAAUGAGACUUAUGUACUUGGUAUAUGGUGGCAAGCAGGGUACUAUAGUGCAAGACAAAGGUUUUAUUUAUGGGAUAUGUACAAAAACCCAAAAUACCAGCCUAAAAUUGCUCCCCAAAACAAACCUUUAAAGCCCCAUAUUGCCACUUCUAAAGAUAUGGUGGCUAUUACUAACCCUACCUUUGAAGACACCCUAGCUAUUGAAACUGGUUUCUCUGACAUUAAUUUUUGGUUGGAAUGGAUGAAGUAUAGUGCUAACAAACACAAUAAAAGCAACUGUUAUGUCUGUGGCAAAUCUAGGCCCCACCUAGGUACAGUGCCCCUUAAUAUACCCCUAGAACAGGAAAAUUGUUUUUUCAGCCUUUUUAAUGACACCAAAACAAAUGACAGUCAGUGCGAAAUGUGGAAAAGGGAAUAUCCCAUAUUGUCAAAAAAUCCCAACCCAGGAAGCACCAUAACCAUAUAUCCUGGAAACUAUACCUGUUAUACAUCUAACAUCACCCCAGGGAGAAAUUUAAAAACCUUCCCACCAGGGUAUUGUGCAAAUAAAAGAACAACUGUUUUAGU